AAAUGAAUUGACGGGGACCCGCACAAGCGGUGGAGCAUGUGGUUUAAUUCGAAGCAACGCGAAGAACCUUACCAAGUCUUGACAUCCUUCUGACCGGUACGUAACGGUACCUUCUCUUCGGAGCAGGAGUGACAGGUGGUGCAUGGUUGUCGUCAGCUCGUGUCGUGAGAUGUUGGGUUAAGUCCCGCAACGAGCGCAACCCUUAUCCUUAGUAGCCAGCAGUAAGAUGGGCACUCUAGGGAGACUGCCAGGGAUAACCUGGAGGAAGGUGGGGAUGACGUCAAAUCAUCAUGCCCCUUAUGAUUUGGGCUACACACGUGCUACAAUGGCGUAAACAAAGGGAAGCGAAGCCGCGAGGUGAAGCAAAUCCCAAAAAUAACGUCCCAGUUCGGAUUGUAGGCUGCAACUCGCCUGCAUGAAGCUGGAAUCGCUAGUAAUCGCGAAUCAGAAUGUCGCGGUGAAUACGUUCCCGGGUCUUGUACACACCGCCCGU
rnacentral:rRNA from 1 species